rnacentral:rRNA from 1 species
GGCUCAGAGUGAACGCUGGUCGGCAGGCCUAACACAUGCAAGUCGAGCGGCAGCGCGUCCGACCACCCUCGGGUGGUCGGAUGGCGGCGAGCGGCGGACGGGUGAGGAAUGCAUCGGAAUCUGCCUCGUUGUGGGGGAUAACGUAGGGAAACUUACGCUAAUACCGCAUACGACCUACGGGUGAAAGUGGGGGGACCUUCGGGCCUCACGCGAUGAGAUGAGCCGAUGCCGGAUUAGCUAGUUGGCGGGGUAAAGGCCCACCAAGGCGACGAUCCGUAGCUGGUCUGAGAGGAUGAUCAGCCACACUGGAACUGAGACACGGUCCAGACUCCUACGGGAGGCAGCAGUGGGGAAUAUUGGACAAUGGGGGCAACCCUGAUCCAGCCAUGCCGCGUGUGUGAAGAAGGCCUUCGGGUUGUAAAGCACUUUUGUUGGGGAAGAAACCGGCCGGGUUAAUACCCUGGUUGAAUGACGGUACCCAAAGAAUAAGCACCGGCUAACUCCGUG